rnacentral:tRNA from 1 species
GGGCCUAUAGUUCAAUGGUAGAAUGAUCGUCUCCAAAACGAUCGACCUAGGUUCGAUUCCUAGUGGGCCCG